AACGAACGCUGGCGGCAUGCCUAACACAUGCAAGUCGAACGAGACCUUCGGGUCUAGUGGCGCACGGGUGCGUAACGCGUGGGAACCUGCCCUUAGGUUCGGAAUAACUCCCCGAAAGGGGUGCUAAUACCGGAUAAUGUCUUCGGACCAAAGAUUUAUCGCCUUUGGAUGGGCCCGCGUUGGAUUAGCUAGUUGGUAGGGUAAAAGCCUACCAAGGCGACGAUCCAUAGCUGGUCUGAGAGGAUGAUCAGCCACACUGGGACUGAGACACGGCCCAGACUCCUACGGGAGGCAGCAGUGGGGAAUAUUGGACAAUGGGCGAAAGCCUGAUCCAGCAAUGCCGGGUGAGAGAUGAAGGCCUUAGGGUUGUAAAGCUCUUUUAGCCGGGAUGAUAAUGACAGUACCGGGAGAAUAAGCUCCGGCUAACUCCGUG
rnacentral:rRNA from 1 species